rnacentral:rRNA from 1 species
UACGUAGGUGGCAAGCGUUGUCCGGAAUUAUUGGGCGUAAAGCGCGCGCAGGUGGUUUCUUAAGUCUGAUGUGAAAGCCCACGGCUCAACCGUGGAGGGUCAUUGGAAACUGGGGAACUUGAGUGCAGAAGAGGAAAGUGGAAUUCCAAGUGUAGCGGUGAAAUGCGUAGAUAUCUGGAGGAAUACCGGUGGCGAAGGCGGCAUCCUGGACCGGCAUUGACGCUGAUGAGCGAAAGCUAGGGGAGCAAACGGG